CUGUCUGUAAUUGCUGCCAUCAAGGUAGAAAACAACCAUAUAAUAUGUAGUAAUUAAUGUUGUCUGUGUAUGGUAUUCAAAAAAGUAUCUUCUCUUCCUCUGGUGCAAGUGGCUGGAGGAAGAUCUCCUGCAGACGAGAGACUUCAGCAAACAAGCCAGACUUCAGCAAACAACUGAAGAUACCUGACGGCCAAAAACAAUGAAGAACGUGCUCAGAAGGAGGACGUGGAGUUGGUCCAGAGAGAGAGAGAGAGACAGGGCCCUGGAGCACAGCCAAAAGCUGGAGGAGGAAAUACAAACACUAUGCACGUACCACAGGUUGGAGCGGCUGGUGGAGGUGCUGAGGAACAAGCUGGGGAAAGGCAGCGUCCGAAAGGUCAUCUGACGGAGACAGACGCAGAAGGUCAACAGCAGUCUGUCCACUCUGUUCCUUGUUUCGUCCCAAAUGGCAUCCUAUUCCCUAUAUAGUGCACUACUUGUGAGCAUAGCCCUAUAUCCCUAUAGGUGCCAGUUAAAAGUAGCGCACUGUAAAGGGAAUAGGGUGCCAGUUGCGACACAGCACAUCGCCGCACUGUCCGAACUGGAGCUACCUGACCCACUGGCUAGUGGAACAGCCACAUCUGGUCACCAGGCUUCCUCCCUGCCUGCCCAGGCCCGGGCUGCUGCUGCUGCUGUUUAACGAUGUGUAAACACAACCAAGCCUUAACUGGGCAAACAGUUGUUAGAAGUGCUGCACUCCAAAGCCUCAUUCCAGUCUAGGCUCAAACUGAAUAGUAAAUGUUUACCCACUUGGGUUGUUGGUUUGUUGCUGCCCACUUCUCUCAUUCUCUCUCUCUGUUUCUUUCUUAAAUUGUACAUUUUACUUCACUGACCAUCUUUAGAUUUUUUUGUCAUCAACACAUUUUGGUAUUGAUGUUUGUGUUGCUGCCUAUCUACGGUGAGCUCCAGAAGUAUUGGAACGGUGACAUGUGUUUUGGCUCUGUACUCUAGCACUUUGGAUUUCAAAUGUCACACACUUCUACAUUAGUGUCGAUGCUACCAUGAUUACGGAUUGUUCUGAUGAAUAAUGAUGAGUGAGACACACAUCAUACCACCACAAAAAUGCUAACCUCCUGUUAUUUUGAUGGUGAGAGGUUAACACGUCUUGGGGGUAUGAUAUUUGUGUAUCUGUAACUUUCUCACUCAUCAUUAUUCAGUCAUUCAUUCAGGACUACCCAUAAUCAUGGUAGAAUCCACAUUAAUGUUGAAGUGUUUAGAAACAUAUUCUUAUUUACAAUAGAAGUGACUCCAAAAUGACAUAUUAUUUACCAUUCAUUUCUAUUGGGCACAAAAUAAUCUGAAACAACAAAAAACAAACAGCAAAUGCAUCCAACAAAUCUGUAGAGUUACAAGCUUGAUGUAAUCAUUGCAUGCUAUGAGCUUGGGACCAAAUACUCAACUUUUGACUACUUUAAUAGACAUAUAAAAGUGAAUUUGUCCCAAUACUGAUGGUCCCCUAAAAUGGUGGGACCAUGUACAAAAAGUGCUGUAAUU